CCUCCAUUUCUUUACAUUUCCCAAGAUUGAACUCCAUCUGCCAUGUACCACUCCACUCCCAUAUUCUAUCCAGGUCCCUUUGCAAUGCCUCACAGUCCUUCACAUUUUUCACUCGGCUCAAUAGCUUUGCAUCAUCUGCAAACAAACUCACAUAGCUGGUCACUCCGUCCACCAUAUCAUUUAUAUAAACAGCAAACGUUAUUGGUGCCAACACUGAACCUUGCGGGACCCCACUCAUCACAGGACACCAGUUGGAAACCCUGUCCCUAAUUAUUGUCCUCAUUUCCCUGUUAGUUAGGAAGUCCUCCAGCCACUUAAUGAGUCCAUCACCCACUCCACACCUAUUUUUAAUUUUCCAAAUUAGUCUUCGGUGCGGUACUUUGUCAAAUGCCUUUUUCAAAUCCAGGUACACUCCAUCUGCCCAGCCUUCUCUCUCUUGUAUUAAAUCAGUCACCCUUGAGUAGUAACAUAACAAGUUGGUGACACAAGAUCUCCCUCUCCAGAAUCCAAACUGGCAAUCUGAGAUAAUUUUCUCACUUUCUAAGAAAUCUGACCACCUGUUUUUAACCAGUCUCUCACAUAUCUUCGCAACCACACUAGUGAGUGAUACUGGUCUGUAAUUUAAUGGGUCCUCUCUCUUGCCUCCCUUAAAAAUCGGUACUAUGUUUGCUCUCUUCCAAUCUUGUGGUACCUUUCCUUCGCUCAGGGAGGUGCUCAUUAUGGUGUGCAGUUUCUCUGCAAGUUGCUCACAUUAUUCUUUCAGGAUCCACCCUGAUACUUCAUCCGGCCCCGUCGCCUUUCUUACAUCCAGCUUGUUCAAACUUUCCCUGACCUCCUGCACCGUUAACUGUAUCUCCUGCAUAACCCUUCCUCUUUCCUAGCCUGGGGAUUGUACAAAAUCUCCUUCUUUUGUAUAAACUCUAUGGAAGCUGUUAUUUAUCACCUCUUCCAUCUCUGCUGGGUUCUCAUAUGUAGUUCCAUCCAUUUUCAGUUUAUCGAUUGUUUCUCUAUUCUUCAGUUUGCUGUUCACAUGUCUAUAGAAUAGUUUGGGUUGGUCUUUGCAUUUGUCAAUUAUAUCUUUUUCAUAUUUCCUUUUCUCUUCUAGUCUUUGUAUACUCAUUCCUUGCUUGUUUGAAAUCAUUCCACAAGUUGAUUCUUCUUUGUCUCCCCCAUCCCUUCCAAGCUUCCUCUUUUCUCUUUCUAGCCGCCUCGCAUCUUUUGUUAAACCACUCCUUUUUACCAACAUCCUUUUUGGUUACCUUUGGGACAUAUCUAUUCUCGGCUUCCUUGUAUAGCUUUGAAAACUCCUCCCACUUAUGCUGUGUACUCUUGGCUUUGUACAGCCCACUCCAUUUUGCAUUUUCAAAAAAAGUUCUCAUGUUAACAAAGUCUGCCUUACAGUAGUUGCUUCUCCCAAUUUUGUGAUCCUUUUUUCGGUCAAUUGCUUUCUUUUCUGAUACUUCAAAUUCCACAACCGCAUGGUCACUUCGCUAUUGGACAAUCUAUUUUAAGAUUUUCUAUUAUUUCUGGCUCCUUACUAAAUACCAGGUCUAGUCUUGAUGCCUCGCUUUCAUUCCCGAAUCUGGUAUGUUCCUUAAUCCACUAAGUCAGCACAUGUUCCAUUGCCAGUUGCAGGAGUCUUCCUCCCCACGACUUGUCUGUUCCCUGCGUCUGCCAAUCCUCCUAUUCCACCUCCUUGCAGUUGAACUCACCCAUUAUAAUUAUUCUCUCACACUCCCUCAACAUUCCAUCCCGGCAACUCAUAGUGUCUUGUAUCAUUUGUUCAUAUUCUCGCAACUCCCAUGCGCUUGUUCUUGGGGACACGUACCCUACUUCAUGCUGCCUCCUUCCUUCAGCUCACACAAUUUUCACUUCCAACACCUCUGCCAAGCCUUUACCCUCAAUCACCUCCUCCACCCUAAUGCCUUUUUUUACCAUCAACAUCACACCUCCUCCCUGUUUUCUCCCUUUGUGUGUGUGUGUGUGUGUGUGUGUGUGUGUGAGGGACUGCAUGUGUAUGUGUGUGCGUGCGUGCACACGUGGCUGUAGUAUACAGGAUUUGAGUUAAUCUCAAGUUGUCCUGUCUCCAUAUUUGCUCCAUCCAACAGUCUUCAAGUUGUGGAUGCUCCUCACCUGUACUGCCUCUGCCUUCAUCUUGUUCCAGGCACCAGGACUUACAAACUUGAGACUAAGCUUUGCAGUGUUGUGUCUGCAGGGUCUUCCUCAGCUUAAGCUUACGCCGUCCUGUUCUUUUGUUGCCUUUAACCAAAAUGCCCUCUCUGUUUUUACAUUAUUACAGCAAAGGCAGCAGCUCUAGGGCAGAAGAAGGAUACUGAAUACAAGCCCGCUGUGUCACCACUUCUCUGUAGCAAAAGGCAGAACAUUCUGUUUUUACAUUAUUACAGCAAAGGCAGCAGGUCCAGGGCAGAAGAAGGAUACUGAAUACAAGCCCGCUGUGUCACCACUUCUCUGUAGCCAAAGGCUGAACAUUCAAGAUUAUAAUUCCAAAUUGUUUGGAGAGGUCUUGCUACUCCCCUCUUGAAGGCAGUCAGUUUGCAGGCAGGAGGAAAUACAGACAAAGAGGCUGUUCCAGGGUUUUCCUGUGAAGGGGAUGAAAGAAAGGAGAUGUUGAUUAACUUUUCCAUAAGAGAUUUGGAUAGCAUGAGAUAGAGUAGAAAGUUGUGUGUAGCGAGGGCAGGGGAGGGAGAGACAUGCAGUUGCUGUAGGAAGUUCAUAAGUGCAGUCACCAUGAAACUAUCAAUAGAAGAUGAAAAGAGAAGCAACAUUGUGGCAGAAUUUAAGAGUGUCAUCAAGAGAAGGGUUGAUGCCUUCACCUGUCCAAAAGGGCUGUGUGUGUGGCAGCCCCACACAGGAGAUGUACAUGCCAUGCGGAUUUGGCACGGCCGGCCCUGUGUGUGGACAGUAUUGCCUGACAACCAUGAGGGUGAUUUAGCAAGAGAAGAGACAUGAAGUUUCUAGUUAAGAUUUGAGUUAUGGGUUGACGGAGAAUGUCUAGUGCAGAAGAAAGGGACAGCCGAGUGUUGUCGAAGAAUAGGGGAAGACUGGAAGAUGGUGUCGAGUUGUCAGGUCAGGGACAUGAAACAACCUUUUUCAUUGCAGAAAAUACCUGCAUUUUACAGUACUAAUACUUACAGCACUGUGCAGCACUCUUUUGUUGGCCUGGGAUUCUUCUCUGGGCUGUCAGCAGCUCCACCUCUGACUCAGCACCUCAUUGACUCACUGACUGUGCAGCACUCUUUUGCUGCCCCAGGAUUCUUCUCUGGGCUGUCAGCAGCUCCACCUCUGACUCAGCACCUCAUAAACUCACUGACUGUGCAGCACUCUUUUGCUGCCUCAGGAUUUUUCUCUUAGCUGUCAGCAGCUCCACCUCUGACUCAGCACCUCAUUAACUCACUGACUGCAGCACUCUUUUGCUGCCUCAGGAUUUUUCUCUGGACGUCUCCGGCUCCACCGCUGCACCUCCCUGGCAAAUGAGGCUCAUGCUGCCACAAGAUGUGCCAAGAUGGCAGCUGAACCGUUCAGUGAAGAGUGUCCAAGUGAUGGCACGUUUGCAUCUUUACUUUUUUAUUGAAUUUUCUUGGGUCCAGAAGGUGGUCAGGAAUGAAGUUCCUUCUAUUUCUUUAUAAUUGCAUGGGAAAAGUAGGUUCUCUAUUUGACAGUUUUAUUAUUCCUCCUCCAGCUAAGGAGCACAAGCCAGGGGAAUAGCCGGGGUUUCUUGCCCGUAAAUCCAGUGCCUUCCCCAACACUUCUUCCCCCAGCCAGUCCUCACGCUGCCGUGCUCCGCCUUGGCUCUGUGUGGCUGGCAGAAUCAGUGGUCUCCUCUUUGCCCUUUUUCAAGUACCAGUCACUUACUCUUGCCUACAUUUUCUUUCAUCUUCCUUCUCUUACACAGCCUUUUAUUUCCUUUCAGCAACACUAUCAUGUCGUAACUGCCAAGGAGUGUUCUGUACCUCAUAUUCAGCCUUGCACUAAAUCUACUCUGACUCUCACAGCCUCGGGGGCAUUCAGGCAACUCUGUCUUCCUGGGGCUUGCCAUCGUUUUACUUUUCCUCAGCUCCUUCCUGGGCUCUGAUCCUCUUCUUGACCCAUGAAUACUUGGAGAGAAAACACCUUAACCAUUUGCACUUUUAUUGUUAUUUAGCAUUGAAUCAUAUGAACCAUUUGCACACACUGAUAUUUAGUAUUGAAUAUAAGGGAGGAUACAGUUGUUACACAGGUGCAUCCUUCUCCCUGGCAUGUUUACUGUUUUGUGUAGCUGUGAGGGGAGGUGCAGACAUUGAAUAUAAGGGAGGAUACAGUUGUUACACAGGUGCAUCCUUCUCCCUGGCAUGUUUACUGUUUUGUGUAGCUGUGAGGGGAGGUGCAGGCAUUGAAUAUAAGGGAGGAUACAGUUGUUACACAGGUGCAUUCUUUUCCCUGGCAUGUUUACUGUUUUGUGUAGCUGUGAGGGGAGGUGCAGGCAUUGAAUGUAAGGGAGGAUACAGUUGUUACACAGGUGCAUUCUUUUCCCUGGCAUGUUUGCUCUUUACUGUUUACUGAGGUGAGGUGCAGGUUACAUGUUGUUCCUCAGGUGAAAAUGAAGCCUUGAUUCUUUGCACAACAAUACCUAACUUUUCCUUAUUGCCGGGAAGGACCUAAAGUGAACUGUUGUGCCAAGGUGAACAAAGGAAGGUGUUAAGGGA